rnacentral:rRNA from 1 species
GCUUCGGGGGCUCGGUCCGCGUGUUUUUUCACGUGUGUACUAAGAGUUCUUGUGGCAUUUUACUAGAGAUGCUUUCUGCCAUUAGGUUGGUGGGGGGCAAUUGUCUAGUUCAUUUACUGUGAAUAACUCAGCUUGCUCCAAAAAGGCGUUUGCCUCUUUUGAAUGUAUUAGCAUGGAAUAAUAAGAUUAGACUCAGGUGGUCUGUUUUGUUGGUUUACACACCAGAGUA